rnacentral:rRNA from 1 species
AGAUUAAGCCAUGCAUGUCUAAGUAUAAGCAAUUAUACAGCGAAACUGCGAAUGGCUCAUUAUAUAAGUUAUCGUUUAUUUGAUAGUACCUUACUACUUGGAUAACCGUGGUAAUUCUAGAGCUAAUACAUGCUGAAAAUCCCGACUUCGGAAGGGAUGUAUUUAUUAGAUUAAAAACCAAUGCCCUCUGGGCUCCUUGGUGAUUCAUAAUAACUUUUCGAAUCGCACGGCCUUGCGCCGGCGAUGGUUCAUUCAAAUUUCUUCCCUAUCAACUUUCGAUGUUUGGGUAUUGGCCAAACAUGGUCGCAACGGGUAACGGAGGGUUAGGGCUCGACCCCGGAGAAGGAGCCUGAGAAACGGCUACUACAUCCAAGGAAGGCAGCAGGCGCGCAAAUUACCCAAUCCCGAUUCGGGGAGGUAGUGACAAUAAAUACUGAUACAGGGCUCUUUUGGGUCUUGUAAUUGGAAUGAGUACAAUUUAAAUCUCUUAACGAGGAACAAUUGGAGGGCAAGUCUGGUGCCAGCAGCCGCGGUAAUUCCAGCUCCAAUAGCGUAUAUUAAAGUUGUUGUGGUUAAAAAGCUCGUAGUUGAACCUUGGGCCUGGCUGGCCGGUCCGCCUCACCGCGUGUACUGGUCCGGCCGGGCCUUUCCCUCUGUGGAACCUCAUGCCCUUCACUGGGUGUGGCGGGGGAAACAGGACUUUUACUUUGAAAAAAUUAGAGUGCUCCAGGCAGGCCUAUGCUCGAAUACAUUAGCAUGGAAUAAUAAAAUAGGACGUGUGGUUCUAUUUUGUUGGUUUCUAGGACCGCCGUAAUGAUUAAUAGGGACAGUCGGGGGCAUCAGUAUUCAAUUGUCAGAGGUGAAAUUCUUGGAUUUAUUGAAGACUAACUACUGCGAAAGCAUUUGCCAAGGAUGUUUUCAUUUAUCAGGAACGAAAGUUAGGGGAUCGAAGACGAUCAGAUACCGUCGUAGUCUUAACCAUAAACUAUGCCGACUAGGGAUCGGACGAUGUUAUUUUUU